CCUACGGGGGGCUGCAGUGAGGAAUAUUGGUCAAUGGCCGGAAGGCUGAACCAGCCAAGCCGCGUGAGGGAGGAAGGCGCAGAGCGUCUCAGACCUCUUUUGCCGGGGGACAAAAGGCCGGACUCGUCCGGUCCUGAGGGUACCCGGAGAAAAAGCAUCGCGUAACUCCGUGCCAGCAGCCGCGGUAAUACGGGGGAUGCGAGCGUUAUCCGGAUUCAUGGGGUUUAAAGGGUGCGCAGGCGGGCCUUUAAGCCGGCGGUGAAAUCGCGGGGCUCAACCCCGCCGAGCCGUCGGAACUGGGGGGCUUGAGUGCGGCGGAGGCAUGCAGAAUGCGCGGUGUAGCGGUGAAAUGCAUAGAUAUCGCGCAGAACCCCGAUGGCGAAGGCAGCGUGCCGUGCCGCCACUGACGCUGAGGCACGAAAGCGCGGGGAUCGAACAGGAUUAGAUACCCCAGUAGUC
rnacentral:rRNA from 1 species